AGCGUACACGGUGGAUGCCCUGGCAGUCAGAGGCGAUGAAGGACGUGCUAAUCUGCGAUAAGCGUCGGUAAGGUGAUAUGAACCGUUAUAACCGGCGAUUUCCGAAUGGGGAAACCCAGUGUGAUUCGUCACACUAUCAUUAACUGAAUCCAUAGGUUAAUGAGGCGAACCGGGGGAACUGAAACAUCUAAGUACCCCGAGGAAAAGAAAUCAACCGAGAUUCCCCCAGUAGCGGCGAGCGAACGGGGAGCAGCCCAGAGCCUGAAUCAGUGUGUGUGUUAGUGGAAGCGUCUGGAAAGGCGCGCGAUACAGGGUGACAGCCCCGUACACAAAAAUGCACAUGCUGUGAGCUCGAUGAGUAGGGCGGGACACGUGGUAUCCUGUCUGAAUAUGGGGGGACCAUCCUCCAAGGCUAAAUACUCCUGACUGACCGAUAGUGAACCAGUACCGUGAGGGAAAGGCGAAAAGAACCCCGGCGAGGGGAGUGAAAAAGAACCUGAAACCGUGUACGUACAAGCAGUGGGAGCACGCUUAGGCGUGUGACUGCGUACCUUUUGUAUAAUGGGUCAGCGACUUAUAUUCUGUAGCAAGGUUAACCGAAUAGGGGAGCCGAAGGGAAACCGAGUCUUAACUGGGCGUUAAGUUGCAGGGUAUAGACCCGAAACCCGGUGAUCUAGCCAUGGGCAGGUUGAAGGUUGGGUAACACUAACUGGAGGACCGAACCGACUAAUGUUGAAAAAUUAGCGGAUGACUUGUGGCUGGGGGUGAAAGGCCAAUCAAACCGGGAGAUAGCUGGUUCUCCCCGAAAGCUAUUUAGGUAGCGCCUCGUGAAUUCAUCUCCGGGGGUAGAGCACUGUUUCGGCAAGGGGGUCAUCCCGACUUACCAACCCGAUGCAAACUGCGAAUACCGGAGAAUGUUAUCACGGGAGACACACGGCGGGUGCUAACGUCCGUCGUGAAGAGGGAAACAACCCAGACCGCCAGCUAAGGUCCCAAAGUCAUGGUUAAGUGGGAAACGAUGUGGGAAGGCCCAGACAGCCAGGAUGUUGGCUUAGAAGCAGCCAUCAUUUAAAGAAAGCGUAAUAGCUCACUGGUCGAGUCGGCCUGCGCGGAAGAUGUAACGGGGCUAAACCAUGCACCGAAGCUGCGGCAGCGACGCUUAUGCGUUGUUGGGUAGGGGAGCGUUCUGUAAGCCUGUGAAGGUGUACUGUGAGGUAUGCUGGAGGUAUCAGAAGUGCGAAUGCUGACAUAAGUAACGAUAAAGCGGGUGAAAAGCCCGCUCGCCGGAAGACCAAGGGUUCCUGUCCAACGUUAAUCGGGGCAGGGUGAGUCGACCCCUAAGGCGAGGCCGAAAGGCGUAGUCGAUGGGAAACAGGUUAAUAUUCCUGUACUUGGUGUUACUGCGAAGGGGGGACGGAGAAGGCUAUGUUGGCCGGGCGACGGUUGUCCCGGUUUAAGCGUGUAGGCUGGUUUUCCAGGCAAAUCCGGAAAAUCAAGGCUGAGGCGUGAUGACGAGGCACUACGGUGCUGAAGCAACAAAUGCCCUGCUUCCAGGAAAAGCCUCUAAGCAUCAGGUAACAUCAAAUCGUACCCCAAACCGACACAGGUGGUCAGGUAGAGAAUACCAAGGCGCUUGAGAGAACUCGGGUGAAGGAACUAGGCAAAAUGGUGCCGUAACUUCGGGAGAAGGCACGCUGAUAUGUAGGUGAAGCGACUUGCUCGUGGAGCUGAAAUCAGUCGAAGAUACCAGCUGGCUGCAACUGUUUAUUAAAAACACAGCACUGUGCAAACACGAAAGUGGACGUAUACGGUGUGACGCCUGCCCGGUGCCGGAAGGUUAAUUGAUGGGGUCAGCGCAAGCGAAGCUCUUGAUCGAAGCCCCGGUAAACGGCGGCCGUAACUAUAACGGUCCUAAGGUAGCGAAAUUCCUUGUCGGGUAAGUUCCGACCUGCACGAAUGGCGUAAUGAUGGCCAGGCUGUCUCCACCCGAGACUCAGUGAAAUUGAACUCGCUGUGAAGAUGCAGUGUACCCGCGGCAAGACGGAAAGACCCCGUGAACCUUUACUAUAGCUUGACACUGAACAUUGAGCCUUGAUGUGUAGGAUAGGUGGGAGGCUUUGAAGUGUGGACGCCAGUCUGCAUGGAGCCGACCUUGAAAUACCACCCUUUAAUGUUUGAUGUUCUAACGUGGACCCGUAAUCCGGGUUGCGGACAGUGUCUGGUGGGUAGUUUGACUGGGGCGGUCUCCUCCUAAAGAGUAACGGAGGAGCACGAAGGUUGGCUAAUCCUGGUCGGACAUCAGGAGGUUAGUGCAAUGGCAUAAGCCAGCUUGACUGCGAGCGUGACGGCGCGAGCAGGUGCGAAAGCAGGUCAUAGUGAUCCGGUGGUUCUGAAUGGAAGGGCCAUCGCUCAACGGAUAAAAGGUACUCCGGGGAUAACAGGCUGAUACCGCCCAAGAGUUCAUAUCGACGGCGGUGUUUGGCACCUCGAUGUCGGCUCAUCACAUCCUGGGGCUGAAGUAGGUCCCAAGGGUAUGGCUGUUCGCCAUUUAAAGUGGUACGCGAGCUGGGUUUAGAACGUCGUGAGACAGUUCGGUCCCUAUCUGCCGUGGGCGCUGGAGAACUGAGGGGGGCUGCUCCUAGUACGAGAGGACCGGAGUGGACGCAUCACUGGUGUUCGGGUUGUCAUGCCAAUGGCACUGCCCGGUAGCUAAAUGCGGAAGAGAUAAGUGCUGAAAGCAUCUAAGCACGAAACUUGCCCCGAGAUGAGUUCUCCCUGACUCCUUGA
rnacentral:rRNA from 1 species